rnacentral:rRNA from 1 species
UACGAGGGGGGCGAGCGUUGUUCGGAAUUAUUGGGCGUAAAGGGCUCGUAGGCGGUUUGUCGCGUCGGGAGUGAAAACCUCGGGCUUAACUCGGGGCUUGCUUUCGAUACGGGCAGACUAGAGGUAUGCAGGGGAGAACGGAAUUCCUGGUGUAGCGGUGGAAUGCGCAGAUAUCAGGAGGAACACCGGUGGCGAAGGUGGGUCUCUGGGCAGUAACUGACGCUGAGGAGCGAAAGCGUGGGGAGCAAACAGG